AAUUGGAGGGCAAGUCUGGUGCCAGCAGCCGCGGUAAUUCCAGCUCCAAUAGCGUAUAUUAAAGUUGUUGCAGUUAAAAAGCUCGUAGUUGAAUUUCGGGAUUGACGUGACGGUCGUGCCUUACGGGGUAUGAACUGUCGCCGUUGAUUUCUCACCUUCUGGAGAAGCUCGAUGUCCUUAAUUGGGUGUCUUGCGGAACCAGGACCUUUACCUUGAAAAAAUUAGAGUGUUUAAAGCAGGCAUUUUUUGCUCGAAUACAUUAGCAUGGAAUAAUAGAAUAGGACGGCAUGGUUCUAUUUUGUUGGUUUCUAGGAUCACCGUAAUGAUUAAUAGGGAUAGUUGGGGGCAUUAGUAUUCAAUUGUCAGAGGUGAAAUUCUUGGAUUUAUUGAAGACUAACUACUGCGAAAGCAUUUGCCAAGGAUGUUUUCAUUAAUCAAGAACGAAAGUUAGGGGAUCGAAGACGAUCAGAUACCGUCGUAGUCUUAACCAUAAACUAUGCCGACUAGGAAUCAGACGAUGUUAAUUUUUUAAUGACUCGUUUGGCACCUUACGGGAAACCAAAGUGU
rnacentral:rRNA from 1 species